GAAGUUCUUAAUUCUGAAUACACCUUAAAUACAUCACCUCCACAAUUAACAUAAUUGAUAAUGGUUAUGGUUCUCGUCGAGGUGGUGCAUUGAGGGUGAAUUCAAUUAGGAAUUUUAUAUGUAAAUUUACAGUUACAACUUUACAUCCAUGUUGAACAUUUUCUGAGGAUUAUUUUUUAUUAAAUGAACAUAAUUAUUCUAAGAACCAAUUUAAAUUCAUAUCUUUUAGGUAGAAUAUUCGUAAAUAACAUUGAACAUCAAGACUUACGUGAGUAUUAAAAGAUUCAAGUAAACUUUUUUUAGCUCUUCAAAAAUUAUUGGUGAACUUGUGUAAGUUUAGAUAAGAAUCCUAUUUACGAGUACAAUUAAAAAUUCUUCGUUUCUGUAAAUGCGCCAUCAUUUGAGGUCUUUACGUGUAAAGAUCCUAGUUUUGCUCAUUCUUAGUACGUUGUCCCAACAAUUUGCUUAAUAUAUCCUUGUACAUUUUCUCUGUAUUCAUUGAUAUUUACGGCUCCUGUCGGGAUACUGUAUUCAGUUUGAGUAAAAUUAGGAAUUUUAUAUGUAAACGUACAGUUACAUAUAAAAUUUACAUACGUUUACGUAUGUAAUUUGACCAUCCAACAACGUUGUAGUCAACUUAAAGGUAUAAAAAAUUGCCAUUCAACAAUCUGGCAGGUGGUCAUGUGCUUUCAAUUUAACAAACUUCAAUAGCCUCUUAACAAGCUUUUAUUUUAAAAUUAUCAGUAAUACUUUGCAAUUUUGCAUGUAAUAAUUUAAGAUCAUGUAAAUCUAUUUUUAGAAGCUUCUCAGAAAAUUUUUGGUAACCUCCUGUAACAUUCAGUUAAAAAUCUUCGUUUCUGUAAAUGUGUCAUCAUUUGAGGUCUUUACGUGUAAAGAUCCUAGUUUUGCUCAUCCUUAGUACGUUGUCCCAACAAUUUGCUUAAUAUAUCCUUGUACAUUUUCUCUGUAUUCAUUGAUAUUUACGGCCCCUGUCGGGAUGCUGUAUUCAGUUUGAGUAAAAUUAGGAAUUUUAUAUGUAAACGUACAGUUACAUAUAAAAUUUACAUACGUUUACGUAUGUAGUUUGACCAUCAAACAACGUUGUAGUCAACUUAAACAUGUAAAAAAUAUAUUGCCCUUCAACAAUCUGGCAGAGGUGGUCAUGUGCUUUCGAUUUAACAAACUACUGCAGUCUUUUAAUGAGUCUUCCGUAUAAUUCAUAUUCAAAAUAACAAAAUAAUAACUAAAUUAUUAACAUUACGAACGUUAGCCUAAAAUUAAAUGUGCGAUCCUUUUUUGGUGUUUUCAUAUGAAGUUCUUAAUUCUGAAUACACCUUAAAUACAUCACCUCCACAAUUAACAUAGUUGAUAAUGGUUAUGGUUCUCGUCGAGGUGGUGCAUUGAGGGUGAAUUCAAUUAGGAAUUUUAUAUGUAAAUUCACAGUUACAACUUUACAUCUAUGUUGAACAUUUUCUUAGGAUCAUUUUUUAUUAAAGGCAAAUUAUGCUGAGAACCAAUUAAAAUUGAUUCAUUUACGUAUGUAGUUUUUGGUUUGAACUGUUUUAUACUCAAAUAAAAUGGAUCAAGCCAGAAACUCCAUACGACAAUGAAUCAGUUUAUUUGGUUACAACUCUAGGUGUAAUUUUUGUAAAUAUCUUUUGGAUAGAAUAUACAAACAAUUGCUAAUUGAUAUUGGAUGAUGAAAUUAUAUAAAGUGAAAUUCUUGGUUUACUUUUGGUACUUAAUUUAAAAAGUUGUGUUAUCUAUAGCGACCUAGUUUAAGUAAAACUAAAUUUUGUCGUGAACCAUUUGUCACUUGAAUGAUAAUAAAAGUAAAUUUUUUUCAAUAUUCAAUUAUAAUACCCGAAAUUAUUUAUAAGAGGGAAAUGAAAAUUUCUGAAACAACACUUUAUUCAUACCAACAUUUAACGGAACCAUACUACGUGCCAUCGCUGUGAACUAUCCUACAUUUUCUUUUGAUACUCGUGUGUAUAAUAUAAUUUAAACGUAAAAAAUUUAUGUUCCGUUAAACAAUCUGCCAAGGGUCAUAUGGUUUAGAUUUAACGAGCUGCACUGGCGUCUUAAUGAAUCUCCCACAUAAUCUAUGUUUCAAAUAGCGCAAAAUAUCCGGUAAAUUAUUAAAACCUUGAACGAUCAUCUAAAUUUAGAUCUGUUAUUAAUUAGUGUUUAUCUUAAAAUGACAAAUAGAUUAUUCAUAACAUUUUUCAACCCGAUCGUCUUAACAUAUCAUUUGUUGGCUGCGCUGAAUUUAGUAAUUGUAUAUUUUUAAGACUAUAAAUAUGUUGAAAAUCAGUUUCAAUAACUUAACAUAAAUUAUCAACAUAUUUUUAAAGCAUUGUGAUAGAAUGGACCUUUUUUUAAACUUUUUGAUACCUAAGACUAGACUUUGUACGAACCCAAAUUUAUACGUUCGAAAUUCAUUGUUUUGUAUUGUAUACAUCACAUUAUAUCAUUCAUUAUGUUUUAAGAUAAAUUAUAUGAAAACA